rnacentral:rRNA from 1 species
UUGACCUCGAAUCAGGUAGGGAUACCCGCUGAACUUAAGCAUAUCAAUAAGCGGAGGAAAAGAANNNNNNNNNNNNNNNNNNAGUAACGGCGAGUGAAGCGGUAACAGCUCAAAUUUGAAAUCUGGUCCGUUUACGGGCCCGAGUUGUAAUUUGUAGAAGAUGCUUUGGUGACGAGUCCGGCCUAAGUUCCUUGGAACAGGACGUCAUAGAGGGUGAGAACCCCGUAUGCGGCCGGGUGCUCGAUGCUAUGUAAAGCUCUUUCGACGAGUCGAGUUGUUUGGGAAUGCAGCUCAAAAUGGGUGGUAAAUUUCAUCUAAAGCUAAAUAUUGGCCAGAGACCGAUAGCGCACAAGUAGAGUGAUCGAAAGAUGAAAAGCACUUUGGAAAGAGAGUUAAACAGUACGUGAAAUUGUUGAAAGGGAAGCGCUUGCAACCAGACUUGGGCACUGUGGAUCAUCCGAGGUUCUCCUCGGUGCACUCGGCAGUGCGCAGGCCAGCAUCAGUUUGGGUGGUUGGAUAAAGACUUGUGGAAUGUAGCUCCUUUCGGGGAGUGUUAUAGCCACAGGUGCCAUGCGACCAACCCGGACUGAGGACCGCGCUUCGGCUAGGAUGCUGGCGUAAUGGUUGUAAGCGACCCGUCUUGAAACACGGACCAAGGAGUCUAACAUCUAUGCGAGUGUUUGGGUGUUAAACCCAUACGCGGAAUGAAAGUGAACGUAGGUGAGAACCCAUAAGGGGGCAUCAUCGACCGAUCCGGAUGUCUUCGGAUGGAUUUGAGUAAGAGCAUAGCUGUUGGGACCCGAAAGAUGGUGAACUAUGCCUGAAUAGGGUGAAGCCAGAGGAAACUCUGGUGGAGGCUCGCAGCGGUUCUGACGUGCAAAUCGAUCCGUCAAAUUUGGGUAUAGGGGCGAAAGACUAAUCGAACCAUCUA